AACACCAGACGAAAGGGCUCAUCCCUUCCCGGCUUCCCGCAAUCUCCAAGAAACCCUAGCAAUGGCGGUUUCCUCCACGCCUUUCUUGUCGUGUAGCUUUCGCCCUUCGAUCUCCAUCGAUGCAUCCAACUUCUCCGCCUUGCCGGUGCGAUGCCCACCGACCCAUCAUCGCCUUUCGCGAGGUUUCCAGCGGCUCUCGACGAUUCCUCAGCGCCAGCUCACUCCGCGGGUACAAGCAAUGAAGCAAACCUUUUCUUCAUUUGAUGAGUUGUUGGAAAAGUCUGAUAAGCCUGUGCUGGUAGAUUUUUAUGCAACUUGGUGUGGUCCUUGUCAGAUGAUGGUUCCUGUUCUUGAAAAAGUUAGUGAGGCUUUGAAAGACAAAAUCCAAGUGGUGAAAAUUGACACGGAGAAGUAUACAAAGAUUGCAGGUGACUAUAGAAUAGAAGCACUUCCCACAUUUAUACUUUUCAGGGAUGGGAAACCCUAUGACCGCUUUGAAGGAGCAAUGCCUCCUGAGAAGCUCAUCCAGUGGAUUGAGAAUGCAUUAAGCGUCUCCAAAUAGUCUUUCUGAUGUGAAUUAGAGGUUGUUAUCAAAAUCUCCAGAUGUUGGAUAUCCAUGAAAUACAAGUUUGAUUUACCGUCAAUGUAUUCUCAUUCAAUGGCAUUUACAGCUCAACUGCUCAGGAUUUGUUCAAACUUCAGCAGAGGUAAACUCAAGUCUGUUUGAUUCGUUCAGGUCUGUUCGAUUCGUGAACGAGUAUAAUACAACAGUUAAAAUAU